CUCGUGGAUGCUAAAGUUUCUUGGAUUCUGCAAUUCGUUGUAUUUCUCUUUCUUGACAGAAAGAAUUGAAUAAGGUACUUGCUGAAAUAGGGACUAUUGUCGAGUGUUGCCUCUACCAUUAACUAUCAACGAUCAAUAUUUAUCAAAUGUUUGGAUGAAGAUCAAUGUUAAGUUUGAUGGAUUGAAUUCAAUAUUACCAAGAGAAGGUUUUCUUUCCGUCCAAUUUGUUUCUGAUGCUCCUACCCUGAUCAUUGGCAUUGAUGCGCGUAUGAGCUCCCCAAGACAAACUAUUCCAUCAAGUCUA